rnacentral:rRNA from 1 species
UACGUAGGGGGCAAGCGUUGUCCGGAAUCAUUGGGCGUAAAGCGCGCGUAGGUGGCCCGGUAAGUCCGCUCUGAAAGUCAAAGGCUCAACCUUUGAAAGCGGGUGGAUACUGUCGGGCUAGAGUCCGGAAGAGGCGAGUGGAAUUCCCGGUGUAGCGGUGGAAUGCGCAGAUAUCAGGAGGAACACCAACGGCGAAGGCAGCUCGCUGGGACGGUACUGACACUAAGGCGCGAAAGCGUGGGGAGCGAACAGG